rnacentral:rRNA from 1 species
CUAGUCGCGUGGCUCGCCAAUACGAGCCACGGCAUACAGCUCAGUAACACGUGGCUAACCUGCCCUUGGGACGAGAAUACCCCCGGGAAACUGGGGCUAAUUUUCGAUAGGCGAAGAACUCUGGAAUGAGUCUUCACUUAAAGGGGCCUACGUUAUGCUCGUAGGUUUGCCCAAGGAUGGGGCCGCGACCGAUCAGGUUGUUGGUGAGGUAAUGGCUCACCAAGCCUUUUACCGGUGCGGGCCGUGGGAGCGGGAGCCCGGAGAUGGGCACUGAGACAAGGGCCCAGGCCCUACGGGGCGCAGCAGUCGCGAAAACUUUGCAAUAAGCGAAAGCUUGACAGGGCUAUCCCGAGUGCCAUCCGCUGAGGAAGGCUUUUACCCAGUCUAGAACGCUGGGGGAAUAAGGAGAGGGCAAGUCUGGUGUCAGCCGCCGCGGUAAUACCAGCUCUCCGAGUGGUGUGGAUGUUUAUUGGGCCUAAAGCAUCCGUAGCUGGCUAAGUUAGUCCCCUGUUAAAUCCACCGAAUUAAUCGUUGGAUUGCGGGGGAUACUGCUUGGCUAGGGGACGAGAGAGGCAGACGGUAUUUUCGGGGUAGGGGUGAAAUCCUAUAAUCCCGGGAAGACCACCAGUGGCGAAGGCUGUCUGCUAGAACGCGCCCGACGGUGAGGGAUGAAAGCUGGGGGAGCGAACCGGAUUAGAUACCCGGGUAGUCCCAGCUGUAAACGAUGCAGGCUAGGUGUUUGGACGGCCACGUGCCGUUCUAGUGCCGCAGGGAAGCUGUUAAGCCUGCCGCCUGGGGAGUACGAUCGCAAGAUUGAAACUUAAAGGAAUUGGCGGGGGAGCACCACAAGGGGUGAAGCUUGCGGUUUAAUUGGAUUCAACGCCGGG